UUGCAUAUAAUAUAAUAAAAUCAUACAAUGUUCUUAGUUUACUUUUUCUGUUUUUGUAUCUACUUUGACAUCAAUUGCUCAAAUGUUUUUAAAAACUUGGAAGAUGAGAUCAAAUCAAAAUAAGAGGAUCCUUUAUAAUUUUAUUUUCCUGCAAGAAAUCAACCAAAAAUUAUUAAAGAUCUUAGAUAUUAUAUUUGUUAAAAUCAAUAUCAGAAAGAAAAGCAUACAUAGAAAACAUUAAACAUGAAACUUUAUAAAUAACCAUUAUAUGAUGAGAAAAAGAAACAAAACUCUCAAAAAGAAAAUUAUUUUUAACCAUAAAAAUUUGGGAAUUAUGUCAACGUAUUAAAUAAAAAAUUGGACAUUGAAAAAACAUCAAAUAUCUAAUGAAAAACCUUAAGACUAACCUUUGAUUUGAUGAUGUGAUGAGACGUUAAAGGUGAAGACUAUUUAAUGUAUGCAGAAAACAACAAGGUACACAUGGCCGGCUCAAAUUUGUUUUGGACCUAAUGCCCAAAUUUUUUAUUUUCUGAAAACUUAAGUCGUUGUUUGAAAAGUUUUAAAAUUUUGGACUUUUGUUUACAAAAUAAAACAAAUUAGGACCUUAAAAACUUAGAAAAAUUCGAAAAAAUGUGGAUCCAUUGCUCUAACACUGCCAUCACUGCCUGUAAGCAGGCCCUGAAGGUACAUACCAAACGAAUAAGAAACGAGUUUGAGGCUGAAACAUAUUAGAUAUUUGGAUCUAAACUUAGUGUUAUCCAAAUGAGUAUGAUGUUAUUAAAUUUUGUUUAAUAGAAAAGGUAAAAGACACUUUUAUCAAGUCGGUUGUUGGCUGUGUCUUAACAAUGAUUUACUUGGUUUGUUUCUUGAAUGUUGUUCUCAGUAUCAGCUUGGUUGGUUUCUUGAAUGUUGUUACCACUAUCCUCUUGGUUUGUUACUUGAAUGUUGUUCCCACUAUCCUCUUGGUUUGUUUCUUGAAUAUUGUUGCCAGACGUUUGUUGGGUUGGCGAACAAGAACAUUUCUCCACGUUAUUGAUGUACGAAUCUCCAUCUGGUCGAUGAAACUCUUUCCACAAAUCAGCAACCUGAUUUUUCUUGAAGAACAAGAAAGUGAAUUUUCCGAGGGUGAAAAGACACAUUAUGAAAGCAACAACAAACAAAAGCCAGAAACUGUCUACACCGAGCUGCCUAGAUGAUGUUGACGGAUUUGGAUCUGGAGUUGUGACUGGAUCCGGGCAAGUUUCAUCUUUAUUUUUGAAAUAUUUGAGAUCAAGAUCCUUUGCUUUGGAUGAUUCCGCCACUUUUAGGAUGGCCCUUGAUACAUCAGCAACCAGUGGUGACCCAAUUGGAAAAACCUGCGAAAAACGAACAUAUGAUCUUAGCAUUUAUUUUAGAGCUAUUCUUAGAACAAUUUCGUUAUGGGAACUCACGAAACCGAAUCCAUCAACGCUAAAGGGUUCUUCAACCAUUUGAUAAUCUUUGCAGUAUUGUCCAAGAAAGAGCCUCAGGUAGGGUACUUCCAUGAAAGCUGCAGAGAUACCGCCUUUCUUUGGUCCUUUUCUCAAAAGCUUGUCGCAAUCUUCCGCGCUAUCAAAGGGUAUGAGGCUGGAUGAAGUGAAACCUGAUUCUUUAAGUUUUCCAAAGAUGAAUGAUGUCCUUGGUUAUCCCACAUUUUCUCCUUUCUCGAGCAAACUUCUCAUGCUGGUUACGGUUGGAUCAAGUUGUCGUGAUGUCAAAAGGGACGCCAAGCUGGCUGUGUAACUUUGAGUCAACACGAGCACAAUAAAGUACCAUGUGAUAACCAGAAGCCUAGCUCCAAAGCUGAACACUCUUUCUCCUGCAAGUUGCAUAUUAAUAGAGUAAGCAUUAAGGAAAGAAGUAUUUUUUUAACACUCACUAUAUGUUGAGAUAUGGAAAGGGAAUUUACUUGGAGCAAAAACCAUGGUAGAAAAGGCAAACCAGAAGAUUGUACUAACUUGGUACUUAGCUGGUCCGCGAAAGUCCGGAUUAAUCCUAUGUUCAAUAACCCAAACAGUAAAACCAAUGAGGAAGAAGAAGAAAAAGGAAGUCAUCCAAAGUUUCCAUGUUAAGGGCUUCAAGAAACUGAUACUGUCUCUUGCCACUUGGUCUUCUACGGGGACAAUCAAUCCCACACCAGAUUUAGUAAAUGGAAUGUGAAGUCGACAUAAGAGGACCUAUUUGCCAAUAUAGUCGUAUCUCCCACAACCGCGUCAUAAUUCUGCGAUAGAGACAAAAAAAUGUAAAAGGAGAUUCAAUUAGGGACCUCACUAGGAUAAUCUCUCUAAAUGGGAGUGUGUUGGGAAUGCAUGGAUGGUCUAACUCACCCCAAGGUAAACUUGGUAGAUUAGAUCGUUGUGAUUUCCGGCUGGUUUACCGUCCGAUGUUUCAAAAGGAAAGAAAUCAUAGGAGAUGUCAUAAGGCAUUUUUUGGAUCACAGCUUCAAAGAAAGCUAUGCAAAAACCUUUGACUUCUUGUGAAUUCGUGGUAGGAUCCAUGGUGACCUCCACAAGAUCGGUGUAACCAGUUCUUUUUGGAACUCCAAUGCGCAACCUCUUCCCGUUCGUUGGGAUCUCCCAUCCUUUGGGAACAUAGUUAGCCUCUCCGGGCCAUAUUAUCUGCUUAAGAUGAUCUUGCCAAGUGGAUAACGCACCCGUGUUUUGCGGCUCUUGGUCUAAUUUCUUCACAAGACCAUUUUCUUCCGUCCAAAAUCCUAUUGACCUUUCUCUGGUUCCAAUCACAUUAACUAUCUCAAACACCCAUGGUUGUAGUUGUCCUUCGACAAAACGGAAAUCUCCUGCAAGUCCUUUCAACCGAACUGUUGUGAGUGUCUUGCGAAGUCUUGGACCGUAUUGAGAAAAACCAAGAGCUUCAAGUUCAGACACAUUCUUUCUGAACUCCACAUUACUAAAAGUCAUGUUAUCUGUUCCAGCUUCUUCAAUAGCUAUUGCCAAUGCGAUGGUAGCAUCAUAAGCCCACAAUCCAUAGACAUUCAGGUCCAUCCCUGGGAACUUCUUCCUCCAACAAGCUCUAAACUUUUCGAGGUCAUUUGAUUUCCGAAUAUAAGUUUUAACACCCAAUACCCCUUCCAUAGCCUCAAUACCCGCCUCAUCUACCAAACUUAACUCAUCGGUUACUCCACUGGUAAGGAUCCAAACAUAUCCUGGUUUCAUCAAACCAAUCUUCUUAAUUUUAGUAAAGACUCUUGAGGCAAGAGAAGAGGGCAUGUGGACGAUAAAAACUCUUGUGGGCAUGGUCAUCAUCUUAGAAAGCUCUAGAGAGAUUUCAUAAUCAGUGGCAUUGAGAGAGAUAACAUAUCUGUAUGAUAUUCGAACGUUAAUCUCUUGUAAUGCAUCAGUAAGAUGUGGCAUAAUACCUUCUCCAAAUGAGUUGUCGAUGUAAACAAGCACGACUUCUCUCCACCCAAACAACUUGAUGAUAGAUUUUAUGGCCUUUACUUGAAAGGAGUCCUCAUAUGUAGCACGGAAAAAGUAUGGACUGCGUAGAGAAGUAAGAAACGGACUUGUUGCAGAGUAAGAAACAAUCGGCACCCGAGAUUUUUGUCCAAUAUCAAUCAUAAAAUGAGCUUGCAUGGAUGUCCAAGGCCCCAAAAUCGCUACCACGUGCUUGUUCUUUAUCAGCUUAAGAGCUGUUACAACAUCAAAACAAAUAAAACAUUGGCUGAGUAGGAGAUAAUAUAGAAACAACAAUGUUUGACUUUAGUAAAACAUGAUACAAAAUAACAUUUUGAGAACUAUAAUUAAUUCAAUAAGCUUAUAGCAAUGAACGCGCGCAACCUACAAUAUAAAUUUCAAAAAAUCUUGUAUCCACUGUCUGUAAAAUAUCUAAGUUUAGGGAAUUCACUCUGAUAAUAGGCUAAAACAAUUUAGGUUUUCACAAACCUAAGAUAGAUCAAGACCUACAACCAAAAUCAAUAAUGAUAAUGGAAACCGAUAGUGAUUUCAAAAGAAAGAAAAGCCAAUAAUAAUGUAAACUUUUUAAAUAUAUAUAUACUCCAUAUGUUCAAAAUAUAAAAUGUUUUAGUUAAAAUCAAGCAUAAUUUUUUUAACAAAACCUCUCAUUUUUUUUGUAUAUAUCAUUAGAUCGACAAGAUCCAAUCCGUAACCAAUCCCUAAUACGAGGGAUAACGAGACUUAGUGGAGUCAAACUCCGGUGAGGUGGAGUCGAAUGGACUUAACCAUUUGACUAAAGUCACAUUUCAAAUAAAAACCUAUUAGUUAAUGCUCCAUUUAAAAAAAAAUCAACCGAUUAUAAAAAAAGACUACAAAAUACAAAAAUUUCAUAUAGAAUAUAAAUUAUAUUUAAAGUUUGCAUAUAAUUUUGUAAAUCAUCCUAUAUAUAAUAGAUGAAGGACGAGCUCUCCAGAAAUUGAAAACAAUUUGAAUGAACUAGAAUAUGAGGAAGAAGUAAGUAUUAGGAAAAGAAUAGGUAUAAGACCAACUGCAGCGGUAGUUUCUUAGUAGAAACUCAUACAAUUAAAAAAAAUAAAAAUAUUUAAAUGUUAAGAAAAAGUUGAGAGAGAAUCUCUAAAAUUCCUAAUUUUAGGAUCGUUUAUACAAUUCCUAUAUGUUGAUUUUUCUGUUUUUUUGAUAUGAAAGUAAAAUAUUAAUACUUUUUGUUUUUUUAGAAACUAUAUGAAUCCUAUACGUUGGAGCUGCUCUAAGAUCACUCCAAGAAACACGGAAAUAAAAAACAGAGGAUUGCGGUAGUUAAGGUUUAGCUGGAGGAAAAAGAAGAUAUGUGAGAAGUUACGUUUUUACCCAUGUCAUUUAAAUUAAAAACUGAACAUGUGGCUUAAGAGAAUCAUUAUUGGUAUUAUCUUAGACUAGUUCUUAUGUUAAUUAGAUAUGAAAUAUAAUGUUUUUAUUGAUUAUAUUAUUAAGAAGGAAAAUAUCACUCGAUAUGCU